rnacentral:rRNA from 1 species
UGGGGAAUAUUGGACAAUGGGCGCAAGCCUGAUCCCGCCAUGCCGCGUGAGUGAUGAAGGCCCUAGGGUUGUAAAGCUCUUUCACCGGUGAAGAUAAUGACGGUAACCGGAGAAGAAGCCCCGGCUAACUUCGUGCCAGCAGCCGCGGUAAUACGAAGGGGGCUAGCGUUGUUCGGAUUUACUGGGCGUAAAGCGCACGUAGGCGGACUAUUAAGUCAGGGGUGAAAUCCCCGGGCUCAACCCCGGAACUGCCUUUGAUACUGGUAGGCUUGAGUUCGAGAUAGGCGAGUGGAAUGCCGAGUGUAGAGGUGAAAUUCGUAGAGAUUCGGAGGAACACCAGUGGCGAAGGCGGCUCACUGGCUCGAUACUGACGCUGAGGUGCGAAAGCGUGGGGAGCAAACAGG